UGGGGAAUAUUGGACAAUGGGUGAAAGCCUGAUCCAGCCAUGCCGCGUGUGUGAAGAAGGUCUUCGGAUUGUAAAGCACUUUAAGUUGGGAGGAAGGGCAGUAAGCGAAUACCUUGCUGUUUUGACGUUACCGACAGAAUAAGCACCGGCUAACUCUGUGCCAGCAGCCGCGGUAAUACAGAGGGUGCAAGCGUUAAUCGGAAUUACUGGGCGUAAAGCGCGCGUAGGUGGUUCGUUAAGUUGAAUGUGAAAGCCCCGGGCUCAACCUGGGAAAUGCAUCCAAAACUGGCGAGCUAGAGUAGGGCAGAGGGUGGUGGAAUUUCCUGUGUAGCGGUGAAAUGCGUAGAUAUAGGAAGGAACACCAGUGGCGAAGGCGACCUCCUGGGCUCAUACUGACACUGAGGUGCGAAAGCGUGGGGAGCAAACAGG
rnacentral:rRNA from 1 species